CAGUAGCCGCGGUAAUACGGAGGGGGCUAGCGUUGUUCGGAAUCACUGGGCGUAAAGCGCACGUAGGCGGCUUUGCAAGUCAGAGGUGAAAGCCCGGGGCUCAACCCCGGAUGUGCCUUUGAGACUGUGAGGCUUGAACGUCGGAGAGGUGAGUGGAAUUCCGAGUGUAGAGGUGAAAUUCGUAGAUAUUCGGAAGAACACCAGUGGCGAAGGCGGCUCACUGGGCGACUGUUGACGCUGAGGUGCGAAAGCGUGGGGAGCAAACAGGAUUAGAUACCCGGGUAGUCCCUGUCUCUUAUAC
rnacentral:rRNA from 1 species